rnacentral:snRNA from 13 species
AUACUUACCUGGCAGGGGAGAUAUCAUGAUCACGAAGGUGGUUUUCCCAGGGCGAGGCUUAUCCAUUGCACUCCGGAUGUGCUGACCCCUGCGAUUUCCCCAAAUGUGGGAAACUCGACUGCAUAAUUUGUGGUAGUGGGGGACUGCGUUCGCGCUUUCCCCUG